rnacentral:rRNA from 1 species
UACGGAGGGAGCUAGCGUUGUUCGGAAUUACUGGGCGUAAAACGCGCGUAGGCGGCUUUGUAAGUUAGAGGUGAAAGCCCGGGGCUCAACCCUGGAAUUGCCUUUAAGACUGCAUCGCUAGAAUCCGGGAGAGGUGAGUGGAAUUCCGAGUGUAGAGGUGAAAUUCGUAGAUAUUCGGAAGAACACCAGUGGCGAAGGCGGCUCACUGGACCGGUAUUGACGCUGAGGUGCGAAAGCGUGGGGAGCAAACAGG